CAUGUGAAUGUCUUGAGAGGAGAAAGGGGUAACGUUAGCCUAAUUUAGCAUGCUAACGAUAGCUGAAGGACUCAUUUUCAGAUCACACGCAGAUGUCUGCCACCACUGCUGAUCUUGAAAAGAUGGGUAACCUGCCUGUGACUCCUCGUUUGAUCCUGCAUGGUCCAGAUGUUACUCCGGGCCAGUGGAUGAAACAAUGGAUGAUCAGCAUGGAAGGCAGAGUAAUCUGUGAGGGUGUGCAGCCACAUUUUUUUCUGGACUUGCUGCAGUGUUUUCUUUGUACAACAUCUUCAGUUUGCAGUACCAGGAGGAAACAGCAUGCACACUGGAAUUCCUUCAAAGAUGCUGUGCUGGGAUAAAUCCAGAGAAGGGAACCUGCCAGGGGAAGGCUGCGAGGGGAAAUGUGACAUCAAAAAAAAAAAAAAAAACUGGCAAGACAGUUCAUGAGAAGACCAUGACCGUAAACCCCAAGGUUUCAAAUCUUUUAAAGAAACUAAUGGACUUUUUUUGAUGGGACUUUAUUUAAAAUGUAGCUA